rnacentral:lncRNA from 1 species
GGCAUUUUCUUUUUAGUAUUUUGAAUGUUGGAUCCCGAGCUUCUACAUUUAGGUCACGUGCUUUACCCACAUUUUGUUAAAUUUAAGCCUUAUAAGCUAUCUAACCAUUUAACGCACGACCCAAUCAUCAAUUUUUAAGUGAUUUUUUUUUUUUUUGGGGGCAAAACUAACGGCGUUAAUUUUUAUGCAUAAAAUUUUAAAAAAAUAUAAAUCCUCGUUGGGCCGGGUUUCCAUUGAGUCCACUACCCUAAUGGGGGAAGAUUUCAGGAAAAAUCAAGAGCAAGUACGGAGAUCCCAGAAUUUUAUAAAUCUUCGAUCAUAAACAGGCCGGGGAUGGUAUUGUUAUCCCCAUCCCCAAACAGGCCCGAUAAAUAGUUUUAAAUAUAAUAUAACAAUGCAUGAUUAUAAUAUAAUAUAAUAUAUAUUUAAUUUUGUGAAAUUGAAUUGAGAUUAUUUUAAGUCAAUGAGUUGAGUUUUAAAAAUUUGAGUUUGCCAAUGAAGUUUAGGCCAGUGGAAAAAAACCCUUGACUUACAGAUUAAUGGUCUCAUGUUCGAGCCCCAUGACACCAUGAAACCUUGAUAGUGUGUGUGCGAAAACUGCCCUCCCCCAUAUCGCUUUUUAUAAUUUUUUUUUAAAAAAAGUUUUGGAUUACGUACACAUAAAACUCAGCUUUCAAAGUGGGGCUCCAAAUGCUUACAACUGCAUCUGCAUGUAGGCUGUCUUGGUAGGUCCAGUCAAGUUUUCAGUCCGACUCGAAUACUAUCACCCAACUCUAUUCACAAUCCAGAAUUUUGGACCGUUUCUAUACAUGCGUUGGGGCAGGAUUUUGAAUCCAAAACUCAAACUACCGGUUUGGGUAAGCAGCGUUGGACAUGGUCUAAAAGGAUAACAAACCAAUCUAAUUUAUCUCAAAACAAC